AUGGAUAACUCAAACAACAACACCCACUUACUGGUUGUUAGCUCCGAGCCUCCUCCUCUUGCUCCGCCGGCUCAUGUGUUCCUUACGCAUGGUGUCCCUCUAAUUAACAGUGGACCAACAUGCUACAGUUGUGCAAUACACCCCAUUUGCAUGCCAUCUCAGAUGAACCAGCACUCAUAUCAGUUUUGCGUCAAUAAGUAUGGGGAGAAGAGUCAGAAGGAGAUGAGGGCCGAGAGAAACAAGCAGCAUGGUCACUCGAUGGAAAGAACUUCAAAGCCUUGCAGUAGGGCAACAAAUUUGCGAUCGGUUUGUUGCAAAAUAGAGCCUCCGGAUUUGUUUGCUUUUUAG
rnacentral:rRNA from 1 species